UAUCAUUAGUUGCCAUCAGGUCAAGCUGGGGACUCUAAUGAAACUGCCUACGCAAGUAGUGAGGAAGGUGGGGAUGACGUCAAAUCAGCACGGCCCUUACGUCCAGGGCUACACACGUGCUACAAUGGCCGGUACAAAGGGCAGCUACCUGGUGACAGGAUGCUAAUCUCAAAAGCCGGUCUCAGUUCGGAUCGGAGUCUGCAACCCGACUCCGUGAAGUUGGAUUCGCUAGUAAUCGCGCAUCAGCCAUGGCGCGGUGAAUACGUUCCCGGGCCUU
rnacentral:rRNA from 1 species